rnacentral:lncRNA from 1 species
ACUCAUGCUUCAGAGCAUAAACCAGAAGAGAGUCAGGUCAGGAAUAUUUUUCUCCAGGCAAACUAUUUUAUAAUAGCUCACUUCAAGGCUUUGUGUUCUUUCUAGGAAACACCCAGCAGUGGCCGUUUUCAGAGAGAAGAUACAAUUCUGACCUGCUGCUGUUAUACCUUCGGCAUUUUGUGAUAUGGUGGGUAAAGAUUAUUCCCAGACUGAAGCCUUCAUCACAAGCCAACUUUUAACUGUGAGAGAAAUGUCUGAACUGGAAGAAACAGAGAUGUGGAAGAUGGCAAUUGUGAUCAGAAAUAUUUCCAUUCACAGCUGGGGAGCCAGAAUUUUAUUUUGUUUUUCUAAGAUGUUGAAUAUCAGAAGUAGAAUUUAAUAAUGGAAUAUAAAAAAUGCAAUAAAAUGGUAUACUCCAAAAAUAUACUUUCA